rnacentral:lncRNA from 1 species
CGUUCAGAAAACUCAGUGCCAGUGGUAGGAGGAUGGAGUGUACUAUCAGUGGAUGAUUCUGAUGUCAAAGGUAUGCCAAGCUCUCCCUUCCAACUCUUGAAGCAUUGCCAGGAUCAAAAGGCAAACUAAAAUUGGUUGAAGUCAUCUCAGUUCAUACCCAGGUUGUUUCUGGUGUACUCUACUCUUUGGAGCUGAAAGUUGCCAACUCAAAAGCGGACGCAAAAAUUUGCAAAGUUAAAGUCUGGGUGCAAUCGUGGCUGAACAAAGAGGAAGUAACAGAUGCAUUCUGCGAAAAUGAGGCUUCAACUAAGAAGAAGGUAUUUUCAUCGGGGACACCAGAUGGUUUGAAACCAGUGGAUGUAAACAAUAGUGAUGUACAAAAGUAUGCUCAACUCUCUCUUUCAAGCUUAAUGAGCCUUGCAGGGUCUGAUCUGAAGCUGGUCAAAGUCGUAAACGCUCAGCAACAGGGUGUCCCUGGGGUGCUCUACCAUCUUAAUUUAGAAAUCACUAACUCGAAUGGUGAAUCAAAAUUAUGCAAAACGAAAGUAUGGGUCCAGCCGAAGAAAGAAGAAGUGACAGAUGCAUCCUGUGAAGACAAGCCAUCGAGUCGGAGGAAGAGGUCCAGAUCUGAUGACGAUUCUGAAGAUGGAGACACAGUUCGCUUAACACCGAAGAAUCCUCUCGAUCCUGACGUCCAAAAAUCUGCGAAGUACUCUCUUUCAUCACUUCAAAAAUUAUCAGAUUUCAAAGAUAAUCUGACAUUGGUAGAAGUCAUGGAAGCCUUUGCAGAGAGCGUUUCAGGGGUGGUCUACCAUUUGAAAUUAAAAGUUGCUGAUUCCAGAGAAGAUCCAAAAAUUUGCAAGGUAAAAGUUCACAGAUAUUGGUCAGGCAGUCAAGAAGUGUCAGGAGCAAUCUGUCUGCACGAAACGACAGAAAAGGACCAGCAUGAACAUGAUCAUGAUCAUAAAAGAAAACGGGUGAGACCAUCCUUGUCAUUCAUGUACUCUCAAGUGAUUACCAACUUUCAGAUCAUCUGAAUAUAUCUCGAUCAGUUUCCAAAAAAAUUCCGCCAAUUUAAAAAGGACAUAUAGAAAAAAAAAGAAAAAAAAAAAACUUGAAGAUGACGGUAAGUGAGAGUAUGGACCAAAGUUUACUUCCCAAAAAGCCAGUCUCCAUAAGAAAUGCAAGAGGUCCUUUAUAGUUCCAGCAAUGCCUUCAGCAUAUUCAUCUAUUACUCAUGUUACAGAACUAAGAGAGAACUCUGUAUGAGCCGUCAAACGUUAUAAAAUUUUCUCUGGCAAAUCACGAAUUUGCAAGAAAUUUUGUAAAUAUUUUUCUUCCGAUUGUUCAGAGAAUUUCACUCGAAAUUUUAUUGAAAGAGUCUCAAAAUUUCAAGGACGAAUAUUCAAAACUUGCCCCAGAAAUGAAUAUUUUCCUAGAGGAUAUUUGGCAACAUUCAAGUAUUCAUCUGGCGUUUUUCUAGCUUGGCAGCAUGAAUCGGAGGACAAAUAUCUUUGUUCAGGGUGUCUAGCAUCAGGAAAAACCGGAAAAUAUCAGGAAUUUUUGCUGAUCAAGAAAAAAUCAGGAAAAUCGGAAAAAUCGGACGUUUAAUCAGGAAUUUUUGGCGGCUAGGGGUCGCAGAGCGCCAAAGAGCGCUGUAAAAGCGACACAUACAUACAUACAUAAUCAGGAAUUUUUCUGAUUCGAAUCUCCUCAGCGGAGCCUCUUAUGCUUUUUGCCUACUGUGCCAGGAGUCGAGAAAAAUCAGGAAAAUACCAGGAAUUUUCAAAAUGAAAAAUCAGGAUUUUUAAUAAAAUAUCAGGAAAAACUCAGGAAAAUAUCAGGAUUUUUCAAAAUUAAAAAAUACUAGACACCCUGUUGUUUUUGUUCGUGAUCUUUACUCACAGCCUAGAGGAUGAUCUUUGAUAUUUUCAUCCAUUAUACUACCUUUGUCUAAUAUUUCUUUCUCCUCCUCCAUUUU